GCCAAAUUAGCUCAGUUGGUAGAGCUUUUGUUUUGUAAACAAAAGGUCGUUGGUUCGACUCCGACAUUUGGCU
rnacentral:tRNA from 1 species